rnacentral:tRNA from 1 species
CGGCGGCGUCGGCCAGGGAGCCGGGAUCACGCUCGUCUUCAGCAUGAUCGUCGGCCUCGGCGGGGGCAGCGCGUGGUCGCGUCGCGCUCCGGCGC